rnacentral:rRNA from 1 species
AGAUUGAACGCUAGCGGGAUGCUUUACACAUGCAAGUCGAACGGCAGCGCGGACUUCGGUCUGGCGGCGAGUGGCGAACGGGUGAGUAAUAUAUCGGAACGUGCCCAGUAGCGGGGGAUAACUACGCGAAAGCGUGGCUAAUACCGCAUACGCCCUACGGGGGAAAGGGGGGGAUCGCAAGACCUCUCACUAUUGGAGCGGCCGAUAUCAGAUUAGCUAGUUGGUGAGGUAAAGGCUCACCAAAGGCGACGAUCUGUAGCUGGUUUGAGAGGACGACCAGCCACACUGGACUGAGACACGGCCCAGACUCCUACGGGAGGCAGCAGUGGGGAAUUUGGACAAUGGGGGAAACCCUGAUCCAGCCAAUCCCGCGUGUGCGAUGAAGGCCUUCGGUUGUAAAGUCACUUUUGGCAGGAAGAAACGGCGCGCCUAAUACGGACGUACGACUAGACGGUACCUGCAGAAUAAGCACCGACUAACUACGUGCCAGCACGGCCG